CCGGGAAUGAACUUGCUGGCAAAACCGCCCAAUCAUUCUCUCCAAGGGUCUAAGAGGCCGUGGGGGGGGGGGCAGCUAGUCACUAUAUAGAACGUCCCCAAAUACUUAAGGCCCCCUCGUUUUCCAAGAGAGUCUUACAGGCUUUCUUCUCCGCGCGAAAUCCAAACAACCAGUGCAAGCGCACAGUGCACCGUUCGCUUUCUGGGUCCCCGCACCCUUGGCGCCCCCAUCUGAUCACCUCAUUUGGAGAGGGACAAAGAGUUGAGUCAAGCUGGACCCCGAAGCAUCAGAUUCAGGGAAAGGAGGUACUCCACCCACAUCUCACACACAUCCCCCAACAGCCACGAAGGAUGCUGAAGAAGGAUCGAAGAGCGAAAACUGCAAGAGGAAUGAAUGCACCUUGUCAGGGUUCGGGACCGGCAAGGGACAGGAGCAUUCAGGAACUCUGCAGCAGCGCCAGAGCUGCGGCUCAGCAGGACAGGCCUCUCUAGAGCUCCGAAGAAAAGCAAACAGUUCUCCCGGGUCUUCCUAGAUUCCAGCGCCCUUUUAGAAAACUCUGUCCCCUGGUGCACUAAACUUCAAGCGGGGCCGGGGUGGGGGAUGUUGCUCCCUGGCAGCGCCGGAGCAGCGGCGCCGCAAGGGUUAAGCCAGCUUGUCCCAGCUGACAGUCAGCUGAUUGGGCUGUGAUUGACAGCUCCGAAAAGUUUCCUUGUUUCUAUACUAUUAUGCUAAUCGCGGCCGCUCUCGCCGCCUCCCAUUGGAGGAGAGUGCCAGUCAAUUUCCCAUUUGAGUCUGACGUCACGGGUGCUAUAAAACUCAGCAAUUGCUUUAAACUCUUCUCGCUGGAUCAGAGGCUUUAAAAUCUUUUUUCAUCUUGGAGCUGUAGCUCGGGCUGCUAGUCCGCUCGGCCUCUCCCCCCACCCUUUUGCUCUCGCCUCGCCUUGGCCCAGGACUUUGCAAUUUUGCUUUUAAAAAAAGGCCAAGAAAAAAAAAAGAAAAAAAAAAAAGGCAAGAAAGAACUAAACUCCCCCUCCCUUGCUCCUGCGGGCCUGCCUGCACCUCGGUCUUGCACUUUGCACGGAGGGAGAGGGUGAGAGAGAGAGCGCGCGCACGCGAGGGAUCCGGAGAAAGAAAAUAAUAAUAGUAAUCAUAAGAGCCAGGCAGAAGAGGAGAGAAGAAGUGUUAACUACCCAGGUGCCGAGGCCCGCACCUCCGGGACAGACACCCGUCGCGCCACCCAGUCCCGGAGCAGCCGCUGCGCGCGCCCCGCCUGCAACCCAGCCGGCUUAGGCGAGCCCUCCUUAUGCAAAGCGCGCAGCGGAGCGGCGAGCCGGGGACGCCGCGCACCGGGCCGGGCUCCUCCGGCAUCCUCUCCGCCGGCCUCAUCUCCACCGCCGCUGCUAGCUGCGGAGGACCUUCCCGAGCUUGAAGCGCCCGGGAUCGGAGCUCAGGGAAGCGAGCAGGCGAGGAGGGGGCCCGGGGCGAGCGGGAGAGAGAGAGAGAGAGAGAGAGAGAGAGAGAGAGAGAGAGAGAGAGAGAGAGAGAGAGAGAGAGCAAGAGAGAAAAGAGAGAGAGCACAUUGGCGUGAGCAGGGGG
rnacentral:lncRNA from 1 species